GAGGAAGGCGGGGGGCGUGCUUAACACAUGCAAGUCGAACGGAAAGGCCCAAGCUUGCUUGGGUACUCGAGUGGCGAACGGGUGAGUAACACGUGGGUGAUCUGCCCUGCACUUCGGGAUAAGCCUGGGAAACUGGGUCUAAUACCGGAUAGGACGAUGGUUUGGAUGCCAUUGUGGAAAGUUUUUUCGGUGUGGGAUGAGCUCGCGGCCUAUCAGCUUGUUGGUGGGGUAAUGGCCUACCAAGGCGUCGACGGGUAGCCGGCCUGAGAGGGUGUACGGCCACAUUGGGACUGAGAUACGGCCCAGACUCCUACGGGAGGCAGCAGUGGGGAAUAUUGCACAAUGGGCGCAAGCCUGAUGCAGCGACGCCGCGUGGGGGAUGACGGCCUUCGGGUUGUAAACUCCUUUCGCUAGGGACGAAGCGUUUUUGUGACGGUACCUGGAGAAGAAGCACCGGCUAACUACGUG
rnacentral:rRNA from 1 species